CAAUGACCCGGGAACAGUUUAUUCCAAGUUCAAGGCGGCCCGACGGAGCCAGAAAGGGAACUCUGGGAAGAGACACAAGCCACGGCUCCUCGAGACGGCUCCAACACUCACCUCUCUGGGGUUUUGGCAAAUAAUUUAACGACCGUUAGGGCUUCGCUCUCGUAAUCUGAGAAGAGGCGAUCAGGGGCUGGGUCCUGCGUCUUAAGACCGUUAGGAGAGUCCAGAGAGGAAAUGAAUACAGAUGCACUUCUCUGUGACUGAGACCCACAGGGCCGGCCAAGGGACUUGCUGCUGGACCACUCCCACUGUUGCCCUUUACGCGUCCGUGGGAAACAUUCGCAGGCUAUUCCACAGUGGCCCGGACAGGGCGUCUCGAAGGUAUCCAGUGAAUCGGCGACCACUGCCUACUGCAUUGGAGAUCUGGGACACGUGUCUCGUGUUGUCUUCCCGAACGGCUUUGUUGAUGGAAAUAGACCCCAAACCAGGAACAAAAUCCUCGCAGCAAUCUCUGCCGGCCAGAUACAUCCCAGCGGGUUAAACGCUAGCAGGCUCUCAUCCACAACCAAAGACAGAGGGACGUUGUAUCCUGCCACGAGCAUACAGAAGGUUGAAAUCAACCUCAUAUUUACAGAUGAACGAGAAAUAACCACAGGGGCUAUCGCUCAAGAGAGUUUAAUCCUCCGAACCUGGGUUCACUGAAUGAAACCACCAUGAUGUCGCUGAAAUGCAGCUGAGUAUAAGCGGUUCCUACCGUUGCCAGAAGUUUCUGGGGCGAUGUGGCGCCACCUGAGGGGCCCCCAGGCCUUCCAUUUCAAAACGAGGAGUCUCGAGCCUCAACGGAUGGCUCCAGUUUGCCAUAACUAGAAUGUUCCAACACGGAUUCCAGUCCCUCUGAUUCCCGAGUCCAAAUCUCUCCCGGACCCCCCCCCCCCCCCGGGCUGCCUCUCGUACUGAGCUCAGGAAUACUGCCUCAGUGACACGUCUGGGACCAUGUCUGGGGCCGGGUGAGGACCAGACACGGGCCACGGUCUGGUGGAAGGGGAAGCCCCAGGAGAUUGGCUGCCAUCGCCGAGCUGGCUCCGUGCCCGCCGUCCAUCCAGCCUGCAGACGACAUCAGUAGGCAUCCCUGCUCCCCUUUUGUUACAUAGGAGACCACGGCUUGAAAAAACAAGCUAGCAUUUUCGGGAAAGGUACAGCUGGGAUUAGGACGCAGUCAAACCUAACACCAAAGUCCUGGGCUAGUUCCCUCCUGUAUUUGUUUUUUUACGUUUAAAUGCGCUUAAUGGUUUAUGGCACUUCGAUAAAUACCAAAUGCGGAAA